UACGUAGGGUGCAAGCGUUAAUCGGAAUUACUGGGCGUAAAGCGUGCGCAGGCGGCUUUGCAAGACAGAUGUGAAAUCCCCGGGCUUAACCUGGGAACUGCAUUUGUGACUGCAUGGCUGGAGUGCGGCAGAGGGGGAUGGAAUUCCGCGUGUAGCAGUGAAAUGCGUAGAUAUGCGGAGGAAUACCGAUGGCGAAGGCAGGUCUCUGGGCUGACACUGACGCUCAUGCACGAAAGCGUGGGGAGCAAACAGG
rnacentral:rRNA from 1 species